rnacentral:rRNA from 1 species
AGAGUUUGAUCCUGGCUCAGGACGAACGCUGGCGGCGUGCUUAACACAUGCAAGUCGAACGGUAAGGCCCUUCGGGGUACACGAGUGGCGAACGGGUGAGUAACACGUGGGUAAUCUGCCCUGCACAUCGGGAUAAGCCUGGGAAACUGGGUCUAAUACCGAAUAGGACCACAGGACACAUGUCUUGUGGUGGAAAGCUUUUGCGGUGUGGGAUGGGCCCGCGGCCUAUCAGCUUGUUGGUGGGGUGAUGGCCUACCAAGGCGACGACGGGUAGCCGGCCUGAGAGGGUGUCCGGCCACACUGGGACUGAGAUACGGCCCAGACUCCUACGGGAGGCAGCAGUGGGGAAUAUUGCACAAUGGGCGAAAGCCUGAUGCAGCGACGCCGCGUGGGGGAUGACGGCCUUCGGGUUGUAAACCUCUUUCACCAUCGACGAAGGUCCGGGUUUUCUCGGGCUGACGGUAGGUGGAGAAGAAGCACCGGCCAACUACGUGCCAGCAGCCGCGGUAAUACGUAGGGUGCGAGCGUUGUCCGGAAUUACUGGGCGUAAAGAGCUCGUAGGUAGUUUGUCGCGUUGUUCGUGAAAUCUCACGGCUUAACUGUGAGCGUGCGGGCGAUACGGGCAGACUUGAGUACUGCAGGGGAGACUGGAAUUCCUGGUGUAGCGGUGGAAUGCGCAGAUAUCAGGAGGAACACCGGUGGCGAAGGCGGGUCUCUGGGCAGUAACUGACGCUGAGGAGCGAAAGCGUGGGGAGCGAACAGGAUUAGAUACCCUGGUAGUCC